UUGCUUCAGCAGCACAUAGACUAAAGUCGGAAUAAUACAGAGAAGAUUAGUAUGGCCCUUGUGCAAGGAUGACAUGCAGAUUCAUGAAAUGUUCCAUAUUUUU